rnacentral:lncRNA from 1 species
GAUGGUUCAGUUGAUUGACUUGGACCAGCUUGGUUUCUUGUAGGACAUCCUCUUUUAUUGUGUCCUUGUGUACCACAUUUGCUACAAGUCAUAACAACACCUCUUUUGCUAAGCUUUCCAGUUUUUCUGCUUUCAUCUGCCUCCUUUCUUCUAACCUUACCUGGUCUUCCAGGCAACUUCUUGAUCUUUGGUGGCUUUACAAUUGGAUUAUUUGAUGUUGGCCACAUUUUCAUGUUAUUCAUUGGCUGAAUAAAAUGGGCAUAUGUGCUGAGGUACGUUUCCUUGCUAUAACAACUAGCCACAUAAUGGAUUGGUUCCAACUCCUUGUAAUGAAGGGCAGCAACACCAUGAGGACAAGGAAUGCCCCUGAGCUGCCAGGAUCUGCAACUACAACUC